GACGAACGCUGGCGGCGUGCCUAAUACAUGCAAGUCGAACGCAGUGGGGACGGGUGCUUAACACGUGGGUAACCUCCCAUCAGAGGGGAUAACACUUGGAAACAGGUGCUAAACCGCUACUGGUGGAUGGACCCGCGGUGCAUUUGCUAGUUGGUGCGGUAACGGCUCACCAAGGCCACGAUGCAUAGCUGGCCUGAGAGGGUGACCGGCCACACUGGGACUGAGACACGGCCCAGACUCCUACGGGAGGCAGCAGUAGGGAAUCUUGCGCAAUGGACGAAAGCCUGAUCGAGCAACGCCGCGUGAAUGAAGAAGGUUUUCGGGUCGUAAAACUCUGUUGUUAGAGAAGCGGUAUCUAACCAGAAAGCCACGGCUAACUACGUGCCAGCAGCCGCGGUAAUAC
rnacentral:rRNA from 1 species